UCGAUAAAUCUUUGCGAUUAAAUCAUUGUAAAAUAAAGAAAAUAUAAAAAAAUAAACAAAAAAAUUAGAAAAUUUUUCUAUAAUCGGAAUUGUACAAGAAACAAUAAUAUAAUAAAAAAUAUUAAACUAUAUAUAUAUAUAUAUAUAUAUAUAUAUAUAUAUAUGUAUAAAAUGUGAUAUAUUACAAUGUUUUUAAAUAUUAUAUCUAUACGUGGAUAUUAUAUAUUUUAUAUAUAUAUAUAUAUACAUAUAUUAAUGAUUUUACAUAGAAAUAAUGAAUAUGAAAUACGAGAAUGUUCGAAUGAAUAUCUUUAACCUUGAUUUUAUUUUAUGAAAGCAACGUAAAAUAAAUAAAAGUGAGAAUACAACAUUGUGUUUUUUCAUUUUUAAAAAUCAGAUUGAAUAAAUAAGUGAAACAGUUCAUAUAAUUGUGAUACAUAUAUUUAUUUUUGUGUAGCAAGUGUUAUAGAAAAUAUAAAAGAAGGUUAGGAAGACUUUAAUUUUUUUUUUUGCAAUUUAAAACAAUACAAUUGAUUAUAAUACAAAUAAUUUUAAUAUUUAAUGAUAUACAAAAACAAAAAAAAACGAUUGUUAAAAUAUUCUAUCAAUUAAUCAUAAAUAAUCAUUUUUAAAUUGAUAUUUGAUUUAAAUAUUUUCUAGUCUAUACAAGUAUAUGAAUAUAUAAUAUAUAUAUAUUAUAUAUUAUCAUAACUAUUUAAAAUUUUUAUGUUCCAUAAGUAUAUUUUCUUUGAAAAUUGAAUUAAUCAUUUUAAAUUGAUUUUACACAAGUAUAAAAGUUUAUGUGUAUAUGUAUAUACAUAUAACAUAUAUGUGUAUAUAGUAUUGAUUGAAAUGAGAAUAACGUUUCUGGAAAAACCUAAAACAUUAAAAAUAUCUAUAUAUUUAAUAUUUUGGAAAAACAAAAGAAAUAAAAAAUAUAUGAAUUUAAAGAUCAGAUAAUUUAUUGGUGAAAUAAAGUUAAUUUUUAAUAAUAAGCAUUUUUAAUGUAAGAAUUAUGUUGACUUUAAAUCAUGUUGCCAUCUAUUGGUAAAAGUAAAUAUUUGGUACUCGCAUUAUCCUCGUCGGGUAAAAGUAGGAAUAAGUCACGUGACUUACAAAGGUUAGAUGUUCCAACGUCAUUUGUAAAAUGACGUAGUCUUGUUCAAAUUGUGUGUACGAUUUUUCUAUUUUUUUCCGUUAAAAUAUAAUAUUAUUUUAUAAAGAAAUGUGUUCUAAUUAAUUAAUAAGUGUAUAAAAUUUGAAAAUUAAAAGUUUUUUAUAGAUAAAAUGUGAAUAGUUAUUGGGAAUUUAAGAAAGUCGAUCAAAUUGUCCAAUUCUGAUUGAAAUAUGUGUGAAAGGAUAUUGUUUGGUCGGUAGUGUGUUCGAUGCACGAAGAAAAGGACGAGAUUUAUUAGUCAUAAGCGUAUAUGACUGAGAGUAAGACCUAGGAGGUAUAGUACCAUUUUCACUUCGGAUAGCGAGCUGAUACUCAAGACGUACAUGGUGACGCCCACCUCGACAGGAGGACCUGAAAUCGAAGGCGGCUUAAGGAGAGGACCAUCGUUGCGAGAGCGUCGCCGUUUUCCAGGCAACCACUUCCGGUAUUUAGAUCGUUGAUUGAAUUUGAUCUAAAGUCGACACCGUGGGAAUUCAUGGAUCCCAAGAUGAAUUUGGCAGCAUGGCUAGGGAUAACUAAGAGAGCGUGGCAGAAGGAGAAGGAACGGCCACGUGCGAAUGAAUUGAAACACUGGAUAUCCGCGGCAACGAUUUUCAGGGCGCAUUGGCGAACGGGGGGGUGGCGACGCGAGGGUUAAAGCCCUGUUAAGCCUGAGUUAAACGCCGUCAUAGCAUAGGCCGGGCAUUGUCCGCCGCUUAGCGUCGCUCACGAGGGUAAAUAGAAUAUUCUCGCACGCAGGAUCGUUUCGUGCUCCUGGAGAAAUUAAUUCCGCUGGGUUAUGGCUGGCUAACAAGUCAUCGACAAUAAUGAAACCACUAAGACGGUUUAUGAAUUUUUUCACGGUUUAUGAUUAUCUAGCCGUAUCUGUUUCUUACUCGAGCUUUAGUGAAUUAUAUUCAUAAGAGAGCUUUUUUAGAAACUAUUUUGAGUUUCUUGUUCAUAAAUAUUCUUUUUUCUUAAGAUAUGCUUGAAUGCACUACUUUUUUGUAAAAGUCUUUUGCGACUAUAAAAUGACACAGCAGAGACGUUGUAUAUCUUAACAAAGAGAGAAUUUUAUUUAUCAUUAAAAAGAUAAUUUAUAUUGAUUUAAUUUGUACCAUUUUGUCCAUUCUAUUUUUAUAACACUCAUUUCACUAAGAAUUUUCCGUAAUAAGAAAAUAUAAUUCGUAGAACGAUUAAACACUCAUUAAUCGUUUCAAAUAAUAAUCUAUAAAAUCCGUCAUCAUCGAUGGCGCAUCAUUCGUCGACAAAACUCUCAUUAACGAUUCUUUGAUAGGGCCGAUUACAGGGUAUCCGGAGUUGAUUGCCCGAAAAACAAACGAAACCGCAGCUGGAUCGUCGAUUUCGGUCGAUGCCGUCAUUAUGUAAAAUUCGGGCCAAAUGACGCGUGGAAAAUUACGCCUGGCAAAAACAUUUCACCCGGAUCGGAAAAUGAAACGCCAAAUCGAUAGGCAAAAAAUAAAGUAAACGUGGGCAAGUACUCCUCGAAAAGGGUUCGUUCGAAGCGCUGGCUAAUAGAAGAGAUAUUUUAAAAAAUAGGAUGAAUCUCAAGCUUCUUCGAUCACGUUCGUAAAACUUUUAUUUCGCGCGUGAAGCAACGUGCAGAUAACGGCAGAAUAUUUGGGCCAGCUAAUUUGGAAAUAGUGGUUACGUAAUUUGUAAAACCAUAAACACGUGGACGAAACUCUAUGACAUUUAAUAAUUCAAUGUACAGAGAAGCGAAAUGUUAAUCUGCACAAGUUAUGCAAUAUGAAUGUAACAGGCUUUACCAAAAUAUCAGUGCGCUUUAAUUUUAUACAUCCAAGUUGAAUAUAUCUAUAAUCAUUAUUAUUUUCUAGCAACUUUGAAUAUAAAAAAGAAAGAUCCAGUUAUUUUCAUUUUCAUUCAAUUUUACAUUCAAUUAUGGUUGCGAGUAUGCACUUGUACAUAUUUAAUUUCAAUUACUAAUUCAUUCAUUUUUCCAAGUAUGAAGAAAGAAACGAUUCAAUUUCAAGAAACGAAUCAAAUUAUGGAGCGAGAGAAUUAGAAAAUUCCUUUAAACUGAUCUGUUCCCCUGUACAAAUCGAUGAAAUCAUCUCCUCGAUCAUGAAUCGUCGGAGAGAUUCAAGUCCACGCGGUAAAAUUUCACCGGAAACUGGAACGCUCGGUGGAAAAUCGGCCGGAAGACAAUUCUUCUCGACGAUUCUCCGCGUUUCCGCUCGAUCACGGACCGGCCACGGCGAUCGAGAGCGUCGAUCGUGGCAGAUGGAUGUCGAAAAAGCUGCGAAUUUUUCGAGGGGAGAGGGGGGAGAGAGGGAACGCGUUUUGCCUUCGCUCGCAAAACUACUCGACGAUUCGUCGGGGGGCAGUGGCGUGAAUCGAGGGAGAGGGGGGAGAAAAAAAGAAGCUGAAUUAAUUAGCCGACAUUAAUAUCCUUUUAAUAUCCGCUUUAAAUUGUCUGACGCGGGGCGAGUGACUGAUGCGAGGGCAUGCGCUUCACGGACGAAUAGGGAGGGGAGGGGACGGGAUCUGGGAGGAUAUUUUUCAUCCUGGAAUGCUUAAUGCCGGCCUCGUGCAGUCUGCAACUUUUUAUCGCAGGAUAUUUCCCGAAUGGGGGAAGUAGCCGGCGUGAAUUUUGCUCUUGGCUUCUUUUUUUUUGUUUUUCUCUCUCUCUCUCUCGAGAGAAGAUCGAUGGAUAUCGCGUUGAUUCUCAGAUAUAAUGGAUUAUUUGCGAUAUAGGAAUAUCUUGCUAAUUGUAAAAUUACGUGUAUUAUUGUUUAAAAGUUCCGAAUUUUUGGAGACGGAGGAAAAUCAUUUUGGAAGUCUGUCAGGCUGGAUAAUUAAUUGUCGUGGUAUUUUUUAAAAUUAUUCAAAAAUUUGAUAGUUUUUAAUAAUAAUUUUCUAAGAAAAAAUUUACAGAGUUAAAUUUUUGUCGAUGGAAAUUUCGAAAUUGGACCAUGACUCGUUAAUAACUUAAUUUUAACUUUAAUUUCUUUUUUUCCUUUUUUUCGUAGUCUUUCGUGUUUGGAUAGAAAUAUCACGAAAUUUAGACUACGCGUGUUGCUAAUUACCAUAUCAGUAUGACACUGAUUUACUAAAGCAUAUGUAUUCCAUGCGCGUUAGCUUAGUACGUUAUUUUUAUUUACAAAAAAAAAAAAAAAAGAAAAGCAGAGAGUUUGAGAAAACAUAUGAGUCUUGUAAAAAAAUGUUUAAUCAAACGUAGAAAGUGACUAAAAAAUAUACAUACAUUACGAAAUAAUAUCAAAAAAGAGAAAUACUAUAUUUAACUUGUAACACGUACGUAUAAUCCCCU